AAACGAUGGAGAAAGCUUGCUUUUUCUAUGCGUCGACCGGCGCACGGGUGAGUAACGCGUAUCCAACCUGCCCAUCACUUGGGGAUAACCUUGCGAAAGUAAGACUAAUACCCAAUGACGUCUCUAGAAGACAUCUGAAAGAGAUUAAAGAUUUAUCGGUGAUGGAUGGGGAUGCGUCUGAUUAGCUUGUUGGCGGGGUAACGGCCCACCAAGGCGACGAUCAGUAGGGGUUCUGAGAGGAAGGUCCCCCACAUUGGAACUGAGACACGGUCCAAACUCCUACGGGAGGCAGCAGUGAGGAAUAUUGGUCAAUGGGCGAGAGCCUGAACCAGCCAAGUAGCGUGCAGGAUGACGGCCCUAUGGGUUGUAAACUGCUUUUAUAAGGGAAUAAAGUGGGAGUCGUGACUCCUUUUGCAUGUACCUUAUGAAUAAGGACCGGCUAAUUCCGUGCCAGCAGCCGCGGUAAUACGGAAGGUCCGGGCGUUAUCCGGAUUUAUUGGGUUUAAAGGGAGCGUAGGCCGGAGAUUAAGCGUGUUGUGAAAUGUAGACGCUCAACGUCUGCACUGCAGCGCGAACUGGUUUCCUUGAGUACGCACAAAGUGGGCGGAAUUCGUGGUGUAGCGGUGAAAUGCUUAGAUAUCACGAAGAACUCCGAUUGCGAAGGCAGCUCACUGGAGCGCAACUGACGCUGAAGCUCGAAAGUGCGGGUAUCGAACAGGAUUAGAUACCCUGGUAGUCCGCACGGUAAACGAUGGAUGCCCGCUGUUGGUCUGAAUAGGUCAGCGGCC
rnacentral:rRNA from 1 species